rnacentral:lncRNA from 1 species
UCUUGUCUCUAUGAGCAGGUACACUUCGAGCAAAACCUGAAGGAGUUUUACAACUCCCAGAUUCCACCAAGUGAAGGACUUGGAUCUACGAGCACAAACACACUGAGCAGGAUACUGCCAAUGCCGCACCUCGAACUGCUAGACAAACGAAGAACAUGGGUGACACCAUAUCAAGAGGUGCAGAUGUCAAGGCCCACACCUAAUCAAAUGAUACACCUCAAGGAUGAACACGGUGAUAAGUCAUGUCCAGAAGACUUAAAACAUUGGAUCCUUGUCGGAAGGUAAAAUUGGUAUUUAUCCAUAUUUAUCUUUUCUGCAUUUCUUUUCCUUUGUAUUCCAUCACUUGCAUUAGCAUAUUUACUUUUCCACAUUAGCAUUAGAAAAGAAAACAAAAAUAUUUGUUCGUUGUACUGCAUCAUAAAAUCUAAAGCCCCAUGUGAGUAGACUUGUGGUUUAAAACCCAUAGGUAUAUUGACUGUGGUGGCAUAAAAUAAAUAUGUUUUCAUCUUACAAUAAAAAUAUAAAAAAAAUGCAUGAUCCUACUAAAUAAAUAAAAUUUAUUAGGACGAAUCUCAAUAUGAUAAAGGCUAAGAGAUUUUAUGCUAACACUUAACCAGUUCCACAAAGCUUUGUUGUCUAUUUGAGCUCCAUAGAAUUCAAGGAUCAAAGAAGACUAGCCAGCAGAGGACAUAGUAAUCGCUGUCAGGGUGCUGCCGACAUUCAAAUACACCUCCGUCACCUGCUAGCUACAUCAGAAGAAAUUACGUCAAAAUCUAGCUUGGGGGAGAGCACCCCCAUUAUCCAGCUAAGUGUUUCUACUCGCGUUUAUACUUUACUCAAAUAAUAAAAAGAUGCAUAAUCAUGAAAACCCAAAUAAAAUUUUUUUGUGCUUAUAUAUAUCUUUGCUUAGUUUGCUAAAUAAAUAAAUAAAGUGUCUAGGCCAAACUGAACUUAAAUGAUAAACUCUUACAUGGAUAUGAUAAAUAGUUGCUCUACCAUGUACCUAGUUUUCAAGUUUGAGCUCUCUCUCAAGUUUAGGCAUAACUGUUAUAAUUUAAACCUGCUCAGUGUGGGAAGAGUACUUAAUCUAAAGUCUAAGUCGUUGAUGGAUAUGAUAUGAAAAGGUUGAGCUGCUGUUUAUCUGUUCCUAGAGAUGCUAGAAUUCUGGAGAAAUUUAUCUUUGAAAAUCUUUAAAAUAACACAUGAUGAGUUCCUGUAUGAUGAGAGUUUAAAUUCCUACCAUAGCCAUAUAUACAUGCUUGCUAGACUUUGAGCCACACAUUUACUUUUUACUGCUUAUGAGCAUUGAGUGUGGUCAAGCUAUGUAGACCCUUACGAGCUUGUCAUGCGGUUAAAAUCAAGAUUCACUUGAACGUUCACUCAUACAUGCUACUUCUACUCCGGAAGUACGCAUCCACAUACAUCCACUCAAGUCCAUCUCCAAAUUCACCUAAAAUUAUUUUACUCCUGUCCGGGAGAGAAUAGCCAAAAAUAUUUACCUAUCCCUGUUAUUCCUAUGAAAUAAAUGCUCCAGUUAUUUUGGUUACUACCACUUGCUAUAUUAUUCCAGGAGGGUGAGUGCUCUAAAAAAUGAUGAAUACGAGGAAAUAAAAAGGGGCAAGUGCCCGAAACCUCAAAGAAAAGAAAAAGUGAGACGAGAGGUAAAAAUGGACAAGUAUCCGACAGUAGAAUUAGGGAUACAAGAUACCCACCUGAGAGAAAAGAAAAAAAAUAUAGAGCAUCUCAUUCUCCUCAAAAAAAUCUUCAAAGUGCAAGAAAGGUAAGUAUCUCCUAAAAAGAGCAAAAGUAGAAUUAGACUUUCAUCAUUGUUAUCACCAUCAUCACCAUACACCAUUCACUCGCCACACAUGCACAUCUUGAUUUGACUUAUUAACUUGUUCUUCUGGAUCUAUAGUUUGAUUAUGCAAUAAAUGUCUUGUAAGUAUGUAUUAUCUGUCUCCCACCUAUGAGCUCCAGAUAUAAAACGUUAUUAGAGUAGGGUGAGAGAGAAGGCAAUAUCACUAUGCCUCAUACCAAAAAAAUACCACAUACUUUGAGAGAAGGCAUAUACCAUUACUACCUUGGAAAGGAUCUAGAAAUACCACAAAAGAGAGAUUUGAGAGAGUCAUACAAGGAAUCUAUGAGUUUUAUUUGAAAAUCUGCAAAAACUCUAGAGCUAUAGCUGAUUAAGAAUAAGAGACAUGCCGCUUGACUUGACCGUUCUAUCUUUUAACUCCUCAAGACACAAGUGAUGGUUGCAAGCCCCAUGGUGAAAGGUAAAAUGAGUAAGUUUUAAGUCUUAAUAGUUUACUCUAACUUAGAGAUG